UGGAGAAGAAGGCGGGAACGCUCCAAAGGCACACGCCCUGCUCCGCGUUGAGCAAAGCGCAACCUGUGCGCGCCUUUUGAUCGCGCACCAGGAGGGCGUGCAAGACCCGAGUUUACUUAUUUAUUUUUUUAAAAGCAGGGGAGCACAUCGAUUGUUUCUCUCUCUCUUUUUUUUAUCUGCGCGAUCAGGAUUAUGCCGCUUCAGCGUCAGGUUUACGCGUUUGGAAACCAGCCCUUUAUUUUGGGAAGAGACACCAAGGAGGUCACAUCCAAAGGUGACACCCGAAAUCCUUGGUUCCCCCCCACCUCUCUUGGCCCCUAAUCUGCACAGUUGAGUUUCUUCGCUUUUCUGUCCCCCCACCAAAAGAGAGAGAGAGAAAGAAAGAGGGAAAAGGAGAAACCUACUUCGAUAAGUUUAUUUGCAAGAAGUAAACACCUCAAAAGCUUCCACUGAGCACCGCGCCCCCUUUUAAAGCCUAGGAAUAGUAGAUCAUCUUAAAAAUCAACUAUGAAUACUAAGAAAAUAAUUAUGCCUGGAGUUGCCAUAUUCAGAGAGAUGUUACAUGCCUUUGGAAAUUCCUAAUGGCUCCUGAAAAUGCCGUUGUCGUUGUCAUCAUUGGCUGACAAAGGUUGCCUCCAGAAAUGUAGGAGGAAUUAAAGUGUGUACCAGAAAUUGAGACAUAAAGUGAUCCAGUUAUAACCAUAAACAGGAAAAGACGGGCCAAUACCAACAUCUGACACUGGCUAACUGGAGGAAACAGACAAAAGCCACCACUCAAUGGCUGCUUUGGGUAAUUGUAGGUUACCUCUGUGUUUACUUAUGUAUUUACAUUGAUUUGUUGGUGGAGCACUACGAGGACCUAUGCCGUGGGUCAAUAUUUUUGUGGUCCUGGAAUUCACCAAAUCUGUGAUUUUUACUGUGCAGUUUACCAAUGUAAGUUUUAAUUUGACAGUGGUUUUUUGUUUGUUUUUUUGUAAAAUCAUGCAGAUUCAAAAGGAUAUAUUUUAAUUCUAUUGGAUCUGAUAUUCACACGGAUCCCAUGGAAAAGCAAUUUGUGCCUGUGCUGUCUCUCUUUCUGUCUUAGGGGUGUGGAGAGUUUGCUAGGCGGGGAGAGAAGCAACCAGAGUAGGUGGUGCCCAAAGCAUUCCCCCCACCCAAUCCAGUUGUGCUCCUGGACCAAAAAGGUUGGCCAAGUGAAAUAUUUCCUUCUGAACUGGAGGAUUGCAGACCCUUCCGCAGAAGUUACUAGUGGGUAGAUAUACAUAAAAAACUUUAAACAUGGUGGCUGUUAAUGUGGAGAUCCAGUCAAGCCUAUGACAAAUUAUGUCCCAUGCACUAACAUUCAAUGGAUCCUUCAACCAAGGUUCAGAUUUGCUCCGCCAUGACCCAGUGGAACAGGGAAGAAAACUUAACCAGUAGAAUCACAGACUCGGCACUGAAACUAAUCACUCGGAGCAAAAGUCAGUGUGGAUGAACCCUAAACCUCUCCUGAACUUCGCUGUCAGAUAAAAGUGGGAGUUAGGGCAAUCUCAUACACAGAAGUGAAAUGAAUGUUUAUCAUGUAUGCAUUUAGCAACCAAGUCAGAUUCGUUUUCGUAUGCACGUUUAUAUGUGAUAGCGUUAUUAUAUUGUAUUAUUUUAAUGGAAGCUGUGUUGGGAAUCCUGCUGGAUCCAUAGGUGAGACAAACAUCAAAUAAAUAUGUUAAUAAGAAACGCCUCUUUGUUGUGCAUCAAUGCAGGUUUCCCCAAACACCUUUUCUUGGUUCAAAUUAGACACACACUCCACCCCACCUAAAAACAUGCAGACAGAGACACAUACCAUAGUUUCAGUCAUCCCUCUCCCUCUCUUUCUAAUUAAAAAAAUUAAAAAACCAGGCAGACAUCCUACUUGCAAAAAGUUCUUUGCCUCCCAGCACCCCACUCUCCUGUUUUUGGAUAGUCAGUCAGAGGUCAGGGGCAAGACUAUGUUUUUUGGCAGUGGUGGUUUUUCUGCGUUCUCUCAUCCCUGUUAGCUGUACGGCAGGCUGUGUUAAGGAAUCUCAGUUCAACCUUUUGCAGUGAUGGCACUGCCCUUAUAUUGGUAGUCGUGGAAAAUCAAGGCUGCCUGGGCCUCCAUUACUGUAAUGGGUUUAGAGUGGUGAAUGCAUCAAACAUUGCAGCUUAAUUUCUGGACACUCAUGUCAAGCCCUCCUGUAUGUGCCCUGGCACAGAAUUUCGGAACCACAAGCGCAAAUGUCACAUUUUUAGGGGUUGAAAGAAACAUGUGUGAAUAGCACAUGUUAAAAAUGUAAUGUGAAACUCUUAUUACAGUCCAGGUAUAGGGUGAUAAUUAUAUUUUCUAAUACCAAUGGAGACAGGGAG